CGAUGGAACUCUCAAAAAUAUUUAUGAAUUUGCCCCCAUUUCACUAUCUUAUAUUUAUUUAUUGGAAAUAAAAUAUUAAGUUUAUUAACAACCUCAUACAUAAUAGUGCAUUUUUCCAAAGAAGCACACUUGUGAGUUGUUUCAGCUUUUUCAACUUACGAGGAAUUGAACCAUUGAGUUUACUCAACUUAAAACAGAACUUGAGUUCCGGUUGUAUGAACUAAACGGAAACAUCAAUGUCAUGAGGUUGUCAAGUUGUAGCGAUUGAUAAAGUUUAGAAAUGUGGAAGGAAUGGAGUCAGAAAAGUUCAAUUAAUUUGCUGAAGGGAUUUCUAGCUCGAGCUCCUCCGCCAUGAUUUUGCUGCUGACCGCACCCCCGGAUGAAACGCCGUUGUCCGAUGGAAGGCAAAUGACAUAUCUAUCAUGAUGUUUUUCUCACUAUUGUUCAUACCAAGAUCUGAAUUUCUUGUGGCCUGUGGAGUGGAAUUCGUUGCUGCAGAUUUGAUUUGUGGGGAUUGAUUAGGGAAAAUUAGGUGCUAAAUCCAGCAUUCGUUCAUCUUCCAAGCUUUCUCUAUGAAGGUGGAAGCUGAGCCUUUAUUUAUUUAUUUAUUUAUUUUGGACAGAGUCGAACGGGUCGAGAUGCAAUCCAAACUGACCCAAACACAAGAACUUGAACCAGAAAUGUCUAAUCUAGCCUUAGGCACUUAGCUCUUCCAUGGUUGCCAUCGAAGGUCAAGAAAGGAUCUCAAGUGCCAGCGCCGCCCCAGGUGCCUCACUGCCCUCUGUAAUUGCUCGCAAACCCGAGAGUUCUACUGGCAGGAACGGCACUGCAUCCUACCUCAGCUGUGCACAAAUUGAUGUCUCCAUCUUCGAUGAUCGAAAGCCAAUGCAACUCAGCCACUAUGAGGACCUGCAACUCUUCUGCUUCCUGGUAUCCGUGACUACCUCAGCCACUUGCCAAGGUAGCUAGGAGACUAAAGAUGAAGAAUCUGCUCAACCUUUAAUUUUGAAUCUUGUUAGGUGAUAUGAGCAAUGAUACUUGAGUUUUCAAUUUUUCAUCAAUCUUGUACCCCUAUGAAUCUUACGUCUGGUUGGGGUAGGUUGGGUUUUCCGAGCUCAUAUCCAUGACCAGAAAAAAAAAAAAAAACGGAGGUCAAUUUGUGAAUAUAAAAAAUAGAGAUGGGUCAAUUUUGAAUUAUUCUGACAAUUCCAUCUAAUGGAGCUCAUCUUUAAAGCUCCAUUGAAUAGUUUGCCUACAUUCUGCACAUCAACUGCCACCCUGUAUGUUACUGCACCUCCUUUCUGCAAAAGGUCUAAAAGUCAAAAGAGACUAAUGUCACGUGUUGCAAAACUGUAGUUGAUAGUCUUCACACAUACUAUUGUCUUAACCCACUUGCGCUGGUUCUUCUUGCUUUGAAUCUGACCUACCACUCCUCUUCAUCAUUCCGCCAAGUCGCUCCUCCUCUCCCCCAACCCGUUUCGUGGCUGGAUCGAAACCGGUCGUGGAGCAUGGAUCCUCGUGGUAGCCGCGCUGAAGAGGCCGAUUCUGGCCCGCCACUAUCCUCACCUUCAAAACGAUCUGCUUGUUCGGUCAUUCUCCACCGCAGAACCACAUGCUCGCCCUUUGCCAUCAUCGCUGCUAGUCGGAGCUCGGAGCGGUUGGUUGCGUCGACGAUCUGAUGGGUUUCGCUUGCUUCUUGCAUUGAGUUACCAUUUUCUGCGAUGCUUGGAGAGUUUCCAGCCUGUUGGUAUCGAUUGCCACCCUUCCCUGUCGAGCUGGUUGAGACGAUACCCACUGUUAUCGCUCCCGAGAUUAGAUAAGUUCCAGUCUCACGCUGUGUUGGUUGAUUCGUCGCCUCCUUUGCUGCCAGAAUGCCUCCCUUUGCAGGAUUGUUCUAAUGUCAUGUGGUUGGCUAUAGCAGCAAGUCUGAUUCUAAAGGAGGCAAGCACAUUAGCUGUUAGACCAUUAGAUAAAUGAGUCCUCCAGGGGUGGACUAAAAUCCCGACCAAAAUCUCCACCUACCACAUCAACAAACAACAAAAAUCUCUGUUGCCAUUUGCAAAUCCUUAUAUCUCCCUUUGUAAGGUGUACUGGAAUAAGAUGAGGGUGCUAUGGUCAACCUCCAUGCCGAACCAUGUUAGUGAGCUUCAGUUAAUCAAAUAUUAAUAGUUUUUCAAUUUAGUGCCGAUCACAUUUGUCUCAGCCUACUUUGAUCUUCCAUUCGUUAACUUGAAAGGAUAUUUGAAUCUGCUUUGUUGGGGCCAUGGAGAGAUGAACUACGCAGAUUGUUGAUUGGGUGCUCUUUGAUGAAUCAUUGAGGUCGAGCGGAGGCAAAUGAUUCGUAAUCAAAACCGAACCAGAAAAAGGAAAACCCAUGGACAGUAUUCAGUAGGUGAUUAAAAAAAGAUUCAAUUUUGGUCUUUGGGUACUUUUAUUUAGCUUAUUUUUAUUUUCUUUUUUAGUUUGGUAUGAUGCCAGCCUUCUGGGUUUUCAUGUAGUAGCCUUGGAACUUUCAUGAUUGUUAAUCAACUUAACUUUCCGUGAGAUUGAAGGAGAAACCUCAAUUGCUGGAUCUGCUCUUCUUACUAUAAAGCGGUGUUCUGAUCAUAGAUCUUUGUGCCAGGCUUGUGAUUCGGGGG